CUCGCUGGCUGACAGGGCGGCUGGGAAGCCCCGGGCGAGACACUGCUUCUGUCCAGCCGGAUGAAGGCCUGAGGGCCAGAGCAGGUGCAGGGGAAGUGACAUGAGGAAAUGCUGAGAUGUGAAUGUUUGGGCCAAACGGGAGGCCUCACCCCAGCUCAGCCUUCGAAGGGAGAGCAGGAUACCCGAGGAGAGGCGCCGGCCGAAAGGGAAGCGCCAAGCAGGGCCCUGUAACAUGCAUCCCACUGUCAGAGAUCUCCUCCAGGGGCUCAAGAGGCUGCUCUGCUUCCUUGCCUUCGUGAUCUAUAUUGCUGCCCUGGGAGAUGCCUUUUACUACUUCCUCAUUUUCCUGAUGGUCCCUGGCGUUGCCUUAUACGAACACGUGUUACCAGCCUUGCUGCUUUUCCUCCAAACCCUGACGCCAGUCGCAGAUGUCUUCUUCCACGAUGUGCUUCGGGCUCUGGCCGUCUUCCUCGUCUCCCUGUCUCUCCCUGUCUCCCUCUUCUUGGGAUUGAAGUUCAUACUGCUGCCUUUUUACCUCCGGUUCGCGCGGCUUGUUUUCUGAGCGGCUGCGGCUCAACAGAGCAGUCAGGCGCUUGCCUGUCGCGCUGGCCGCCUUUCAUUGUGCGUGCCCUGCGCAGAGGGCAGGGGAAGUCAGAAACCUCCCAGAGGGAUCCAAACAACCUCGCGUUACCUAAAGAGCAACUCCUCAGCCACGCCAGUGUCGUGAGCCCAGUCGUCCCUCUGGCAGGUACGUGGCUGCUGACACCCGCACGGAGUCUCCUGUCCUACCCUCGCUCUGUGAGCCGAGCCAGGAAUCCAGUCUUUACACACACAAUUAAGAGUUUUGAGUUUCCUUGUACUGAAGAACACUCCAAAGAUGAACCAGGACAGCCCAGCAGCUCCAAUGGACCCUAGCUAGGCUGACAUCACGCACUAAAGGCCGA